rnacentral:rRNA from 2 species
CGAGCGAACAGAUAAGGAGCUUGCUCCUUUGACGUUAGCGGCGGACGGGUGAGUAACACGUGGAUAACCUACCUAUAAGACUGGGAUAACUUCGGGAAACCGGAGCUAAUACCGGAUAACAUAUUGAACCGCAUGGUUCAAUAGUGAAAGGCGGCUUUGCUGUCACUUAUAGAUGGAUCCGCGCCGUAUUAGCUAGUUGGUAAGGUAACGGCUUACCAAGGCAACGAUACGUAGCCGACCUGAGAGGGUGAUCGGCCACACUGGAACUGAGACACGGUCCAGACUCCUACGGGAGGCAGCAGUAGGGAAUCUUCCGCAAUGGGCGAAAGCCUGACGGAGCAACGCCGCGUGAGUGAUGAAGGUCUUCGGAUCGUAAAACUCUGUUAUCAGGGAAGAACAAAUGUGUAAGUAACUGUGCACAUCUUGACGGUACCUGAUCAGAAAGCCACGGCUAACUACGUGCCAGCAGCCGCGGUAAUACGUAGGUGGCAAGCGUUAUCCGGAAUUAUUGGGCGUAAAGCGCGCGUAGGCGGUUUUUUAAGUCUGAUGUGAAAGCCCACGGCUCAAC